CAGUCGCCGCGGUAAUACGUAGGUCCCGAGCGUUGUCCGGAUUUAUUGGGCGUAAAGCGAGCGCAGGCGGUUAGAUAAGUCUGAAGUUAAAGGCUGUGGCUUAACCAUAGUACGCUUUGGAAACUGUUUAACUUGAGUGCAAGAGGGGAGAAUGGAAUUCCAUGUGUAGCGGUGAAAUGCGUAGAUAUAUGGAGGAACACCGGUGGCGAAAGCGGCUCUCUGGCUUGUAACUGACGCUGAGGAGCGAAAGCGUGGGGAGCGAACAGGAUUAGAUACCCGCGUAGUCCCUGUCUCUUAUACA
rnacentral:rRNA from 1 species